rnacentral:rRNA from 1 species
AUUGAACGCUGGCGGCAUGCCUUACACAUGCAAAUCGAACGGUAACGGGCCUUCGGGUGCCGACGAGUGGCGAACGGGUGAGUAAUACAUCGGAACGUGCCCGAUCGUGGGGGAUAACGAGGCGAAAGCUUUGCUAAUACCGCAUACGAUCUACGGAUGAAAGCAGGGGACCGCAAGGCCUUGCGCGGACGGAGCGGCCGAUGGCAGAUUAGGUAGUUGGUGGGAUAAAAGCUUACCAAGCCGACGAUCUGUAGCUGGUCUGAGAGGAUGAUCAGCCACACUGGGACUGAGACACGGUCCAGACUCCUACGGGAGGCAGCAGUGGGGAAUUUUGGACAAUGGGCGCAAGCCUGAUCCAGCCAUGCCGCGUGCAGGAUGAAGGCCUUCGGGUUGUAAACUGAUUUUGUACGGAACGAAAAGCCUUCUUUUAAUACAGGAGGGUCAUGACGGUACCGUAAGAAUAAGCACCGGCUAACUACGUG